rnacentral:rRNA from 1 species
UACAGAGGUCUCAAGCGUUGUUCGGAUUCAUUGGGCGUAAAGGGUGCGUAGGCGGCGCGGUAAGUCGGGUGUGAAAUCUCGGGGCUUAACUCCGAAACUGCAUUCGAUACUGCCGUGCUUGAGGACUGGAGAGGAGACUGGAAUUUACGGUGUAGCGGUGAAAUGCGUAGAUAUCGGAAGGAACACCUGUGGCGAAAGCGGCUCACUGGACCAUAACGUGACGCUGAGGCGCGAAAGCUAGGGGAGCAAACAGG